rnacentral:rRNA from 1 species
UACACUCCUACGGGAGGCAGCAGUGGGGAAUAUUGGACAAUGGGCGCAAGCCUGAUCCAGCCAUGCCGCGUGAGUGAUGAAGGCCCUAGGGUUGUAAAGCUCUUUCACCGGUGAAGAUAAUGACGGUAACCGGAGAAGAAGCCCCGGCUAACUUCGUGCCAGCAGCCGCGGUAAUACGAAGGGGGCUAGCGUUGUUCGGAUUUACUGGGCGUAAAGCGCACGUAGGCGGACUAUUAAGUCAGGGGUGAAAUCCCGGGGCUCAACCCCGGAACUGCCUUUGAUACUGGUAGUCUUGAGUUCGAGAGAGGUGAGUGGAAUUCCGAGUGUAGAGGGGAAAUUCGUAGAUAUUCGGAGGAACACCAGUGGCGAAGGCGGCUCACUGGCUCGAUACUGACGCUGAGGUGCGAAAGCGUGGGGAGCAAACAGGAUUAGAAACCGGAGUAGUCCCAU